UAUUGCAAGUAAUUAGUUUCUGAGGGGACAAUGGGUCAGGGAAUAAAAAAUAAUGGCUCAUGAUUUCUAUAAAAGCAAGAACCAUAUUGAUUCAAAACAGGCAAAAAAAUACGAGAAAUAAAUAGUUUCACCCACUUUAGAAAACUGGUGAAAGAAUAAAAAUUUGCCCACUAGCAGCAUAUUUGCUUAUUUUAUCUUGACCAAAUUGUGAAUUGCAUAUGGAAUUUAGUUAACUAAUGUUUUAGACACUGCUUUAAGUAAUAUGACCAAACUCCCUAAAUGACUUUGUUGCAUAAUGGGAGAUAAAAAUUGUUUCUUUCUGCUCACCCUUUGGGACCCAAACUUCUAGAAAAAAAAUAUUAUUUUGAAAAUAUGUUCUACACUGUUGAGGUUAAAUAAAUGUUCUACAUUGUUGAGGAAGAGUUAGGUUAGGGUAGGUUGUUAGGUUGGUCAGGUAGGUUGGACUGAUGGUAGCAAUGCUUAAAACCCUUAAAACCCCUCCAAAGUUUGCUGUUGUGUACAUGUUGUAAUUUAAUGUUGAUGCUGUGUAAAAUUUACCCAGAUAGUUGAUAACCAUAACCAAGAACCUGCUAAGCACUGGAUUAUAGAUAGCAGUGUGUACAGUAAGUACCUGUGGCAGUCAGGUCUGAGAUGGUGACCACUGCAGUGCUUAAAAUCUUCAAGAUGAGCACUUACGCAUUCAAGUAUUACAACAAGUGGACUUAGCUCCUUGCAGGUGAAGCAACUCCAGAGGACACCACCUACACUGUUGUCCUGCGGAUGUUGUCACCCACAGCAUUUGCAGAACUGCCAGUCCCUGACAGGGAGGGCAAUACAUUAUGAGAGUCUGGCCCUCUGUGAGGACCACAGCCAUCCACCCACCAGCAGUGGUGUUACAGUCAUCCAGCCCUCAUCUGCUGGGGCCUCUGGAUUCAUUGGUGCUGUGGGUGCAUCAUGUGAAGUCUUAGCAGUGGACAUCAGUUUUUGAAGUCAUCCAUCUUACAGAUGACAUCACCCAGUGGUGAAUAACUUGCCACUCGUUCAUGUUAACAUGUAUUCAAUUUUGUUCUCCAGUGCAUACCUAUGAACAUUGUAUGUACAUUUAUCAUAUGAGCCAUACUUUUCAAUGGUCUGUAUUACAGUUGAUUAAUAUGGUAAUUAAAUGCCUUAUUUGUGCAGUACAUUAUUA